UACGUAGGGGGCAAGCGUUGUCCGGAUUUAUUGGGCGUAAAGAGCGUGUAGGCGGCUAUACAGGUCCGCUGUGAAAACUCGAGGCUCAACCUCGAGACGUCGGUGGAAACCGUAUGGCUAGAGUCCGGAAGAGGAGAGUGGAAUUCCUGGUGUAGCGGUGAAAUGCGCAGAUAUCAGGAAGAACACCCGUGGCGAAGGCGGCUCUCUGGGCCGAUACUGACGCUGAGGAGCGAAAGCGUGGGGAGCGAACAGG
rnacentral:rRNA from 1 species